UACGUAGGGUGCAGGCGUUAAUCGGAAUUACUGGGCGUAAAGCGUGCGCAGGCGGUCUUUUAAGUCAGAUGUGAAAUCCCCGGGCUUAACCUGGGAACUGCGUUUGAAACUGGAAGGCUAGAGUGUGGCAGAGGGGGGUGGAAUUCCACGGUGUAGCAGUGAAAUGCGUAGAGAUGUGGAGGAACACCGAUGGCGAAGGCAGCCCC
rnacentral:rRNA from 1 species